UACGUAGGGUGCAAGCGUUAAUCGGAAUCACUGGGCGUAAAGAGCUCGUAGGUGGUUUGUCGCGUUGUUCGUGAAAACUCACAGCUCAACUGUGGGCGUGCGGGCGAUACGGGCAGACUGGAGUACUGCAGGGGAGACUGGAAUUCCUGGUGUAGCGGUGGAAUGCGCAGAUAUCAGGAGGAACACCGGUGGCGAAGGCGGGUCUCUGGGCAGUAACUGACGCUGAGGAGCGAAAGCGUGGGGAGCGAACAGG
rnacentral:rRNA from 1 species